rnacentral:rRNA from 1 species
GACGAACGCUGGCGGCGUGCUUAACGCAUGCAAGUCGAACGGAAAGGCCCUGCUUUUGUGGGGUGCUCGAGUGGCGAACGGGUGAGUAACACGUGAGUAACCUGCCCUUGACUUUGGGAUAACUUCAGGAAACUGGGGCUAAUACCGGAUAGGAGCUCCUGCUGCAUGGUGGGGGAUGGAAGGUGUCGGCGGUUGGGGAUGGACUCGCGGCUUAUCAGCUUGUUGGUGGGGUAGUGGCUGACCAAGGCUUUGACGGGUAGCCGGCCUGGGAGGGUGACCGGCCACCAUGGGCCUGCGAGACGGACCAGACUCCUACGUGAGGCAGCGGUGGGGAAUAUUGCACAAUGAGCGCGAGCCUGUUGCAGAAGCGCCGCGUUCGGGAUGCCGGCCUUCGGGUUGUGAACCGCUUUCGCCUGUGACGAAGCGUGAGUGACGGUAAUGGGUAAAGAAGCACCGGCUAACUACGUG